CAUUCACGGAGAGUUUGAUCCUGGCUCAGGACGAACGCUGGCGGCGUGCUUAACACAUGCAAGUCGAACGAUGAAGCCCUUCGGGGUGGAUUAGUGGCGAACGGGUGAGUAACACGUGGGCAAUCUGCCCUGCACUCUGGGACAAGCCCUGGAAACGGGGUCUAAUACCGGAUAUGACCGUCCAUCGCAUGGUGGAUGGUGUAAAGCUCCGGCGGUGCAGGAUGAGCCCGCGGCCUAUCAGCUAGUUGGUGAGGUAGUGGCUCACCAAGGCGACGACGGGUAGCCGGCCUGAGAGGGCGACCGGCCACACUGGGACUGAGACACGGCCCAGACUCCUACGGGAGGCAGCAGUGGGGAAUAUUGCACAAUGGGCGAAAGCCUGAUGCAGCGACGCCGCGUGAGGGAUGACGGCCUUCGGGUUGUAAACCUCUUUCAGCA
rnacentral:rRNA from 1 species